UCAUAUGCUUGUGUCAAAGAUUAAGCCANGCAUGUNUAAGUAUAAACAUCUUUAUACCGUGAUUUUGCGUGGGGCUCAUUAAAUCAGNGAUAAUUUAUUUGAUGGUUCAUUUCAGUGCAUGGAUAACNGUAGUAAUUCUUGAGAUAAUACAUGCGAAAAGGCCCGACCCCUUGCGGGAAGGGUUGUAUUUAUUANAUCCAAAACCAAUGGCCGGGGCAACUCGGCACUGUUUGGUGAAUCAUANUAACUUGACGAAUCGCAUGGCCUCUGGCUGGCGAUAGUUCAUUCAAAUUUCUGCCCUAUCAGCUUUCGAUGGUAGUGUAGUGGACUACCAUGGCUUUAACGGAUGACGGAAAAUUAGGGUUCGAUUCCGGAAAGGGAGCCUGACAAAUGGCUACCACAUCCAAGGAAGGCAUCAGGCGCGCAAAUUACCCAAUCCUGACGCAAGGAGGUAGUGACAACAAAUAACAAUACCGGGCCUUUCCAGGUCUGGUAAUUGGAAUGACUACAAUUUAAAUCCCUUAGCGAGGAUCCAUUG
rnacentral:rRNA from 1 species